rnacentral:rRNA from 1 species
CGCGUGAGGGAACCUGCCUUGGAGUGGGGAAUAACAGCCAGAAAUGGCUGCUAAUACCGCAUAAUGCAGUUGGGUCGCAUGGCUCUGACUGCCAAAGAUUUAUCGCUCUAAGAUGGCCUCGCGUCUGAUUAGUUUGUUGGCGGGGUAACGGCCCACCAAGACGACGAUCAGUAGCCGGACUGAGAGGUUGGCCGGCCACAUUGGGACUGAGACACGGCCCAGACUCCUACGGAAGGCAGCAG